rnacentral:rRNA from 1 species
CGGGUGAGUAACGCGUGGUCAACCUUCCGUUGAAUGGGGGAUAACUAGCCGAAAGGUUAGCUAAUACCGCAUACGAUCUUUCGAAGGCAUCUUUGAAAGAUGAAAGGAGCAAUUCGUUCAACGACGGGACCGCGUCCCAUUAGCUAGAUGGUGGGGUAAUGGCCUACCAUGGCAACGAUGGGUAGCUGGUUUGAGAGAGCGACCAGCCACACUGGGACUGAGAGACGGCCCAG